rnacentral:misc_RNA from 1 species
AAAAACUAAAGGAUUGAGCACAACGGAAUUUCUCGGAGAUCAAAUGUUUGAUGAAAAGGUUAGCCUUUUAUCCUUAAGUGGUGCAGAAUUUGAAGAAGAUGUAGUCUUGCAGGGGUCAAGUUUUGUGGACAAAGAGCAGAAUUUCUUUAGUUCUACUACGUUUAGUUCUUUCAAUAGUGAAGAACCCAUGAAUGUGUCAGCAUCAACAGAGGAAAGUAAUAUGCUUGCAGAACCAGUUGAACUCGUUCACCGGGUUAUUGAUUCUGGCAUAUCUAAUUUGCCAAAGGCUAAAGCUGAAGAUAAUGAUGAUGCAGAAAAUCUUCCUUGUCAAGCCUGGUGGAAAAGGCGAGCUGUUUCACUUCUUGCCCACGCAAAAGAUGCCAACACAUUCUGGUCCAUUUUCAUUGCUGCAGCUGUUAUGGGCCUCGUGGUUAUUGGUCAGAGAUGGCGCCUAGAAAGGUGGCAGAUAUUGCAAAUGAAGUGGCAGUUUGGAGGCCACGAUGAGAUAAUGAACAGGGCAUUUGUUAGUCCCAUAUCCCGAUUGAAAGAAGUGAUAAUUGGGAGUGGUCGUCGUGGUUCCUUUAUUCGAGGGAAUGCUUCAACACAACGGUAAGAUGAUGAUGACGAAAACGAACUUGUCUGUGUGCAAGUCAUAGCUUAGGUUUUCUUUCCAGUGUACCUAAUAUUAUUUAUGUUUAAACGAUUGGAUAUGUUGUUAUGAUGGAGUUUAAUCGUGGAAUCUACAAGCAAGCAUUUGAGG